rnacentral:rRNA from 1 species
CUGAGGCGUGAUGACGAGGCACUACGGUGCUGAAGCAACAAAUGCCCUGCUUCCAGGAAAAGCCUCUAAGCAUCAGGUAACAUCAAAUCGUACCCCAAACCGACACAGGUGGUCAGGUAGAGAAUACCAAGGCGCUUGAGAGAACUCGGGUGAAGGAACUAGGCAAAAUGGUGCCGUAACUUCGGGAGAAGGCACGCUGACACGUAGGUGAAGUGAUUUACUCACGGAGCUGAAGUCAGUCGAAGAUACCAGCUGGCUGCAACUGUUUAUUAAAAACACAGCACUGUGCAAACACGAAAGUGGACGUAUACGGUGUGACGCCUGCCCGGUGCCGGAAGGUUAAUUGAUGGGGUCAGCGCAAGCGAAGCUCCUGAUCGAAGCCCCGGUAAACGGCGGCCGUAACUAUAACGGUCCUAAGGUAGCGAAAUUCCUUGUCGGGUAAGUUCCGACCUGCACGAAUGGCGUAAUGAUGGCCAGGCUGUCUCCACCCGAGACUCAGUGAAAUUGAACUCGCUGUGAAGAUGCAGUGUACCCGCGGCAAGACGGAAAGACCCCGUGAACCUUUACUAUAGCUUGACACUGAACAUUGAGCCUUGAUGUGUAGGAUAGGUGGGAGGCUUUGAAGUGUGGACGCCAGUCUGCAUGGAGCCGACCUUGAAAUACCACCCUUUAAUGUUUGAUGUUCUAACGUGGACCCGUAAUCCGGGUUGCGGACAGUGUCUGGUGGGUAGUUUGACUGGGGCGGUCUCCUCCUAAAGAGUAACGGAGGAGCACGAAGGUUGGCUAAUCCUGGUCGGACAUCAGGAGGUUAGUGCAAUGGCAUAAGCCAGCUUGACUGCGAGCGUGACGGCGCGAGCAGGUGCGAAAGCAGGUCAUAGUGAUCCGGUGGUUCUGAAUGGAAGGGCCAUCGCUCAACGGAUAAAAGGUACUCCGGGGAUAACAGGCUGAUACCGCCCAAGAGUUCAUAUCGACGGCGGUGUUUGGCACCUCGAUGUCGGCUCAUCACAUCCUGGGGCUGAAGUAGGUCCCAAGGGUAUGGCUGUUCGCCAUUUAAAGUGGUACGCGAGCUGGGUUUAGAACGUCGUGAGACAGUUCGGUCCCUAUCUGCCGUGGGCGCUGGAGAACUGAGGGGGGCUGCUCCUAGUACGAGAGGACCGGAGUGGACGCAUCACUGGUGUUCGGGUUGUCAUGCCAAUGGCACUGCCCGGUAGCUAAAUGCGGAAGAGAUAAGUGCUGAAAGCAUCUAAGCACGAAACUUGCCCCGAGAUGAGUUCUCCCUGAGACUUUAAGUCUCCUGAAGGAACGUUGAAGACGACGACGUUGAUAGGCCGGGUGUGUAAGCGCAGCGAUGCGUUGAGCUAACCGGUACUAAUGAACCGUGAGGCUUAACCUUACAACGCCGAAG